rnacentral:lncRNA from 1 species
UGACAGUUAUGUUAUCUAGUCCAUUGUUAAAUCAUGUCUUUCAAGUUUUCUUCAUUAAUGUUUACUGAUACACCUAUUUUUUUUCAUAGUUAUUUACGAUGAUUCUUAUCUUUCUUAACCAACCAUAUCGAAUCACCCAACCAAUUUUCGGUUUGCAUAGGGAAAUUGAAUGUAAGAUUGCGAUUAGUACUACAAGUUAUAAAUUUAUUAUGUUGUGAAAUAAAGGACCAAAGAGUUU